GUGAGGAAUAUUGGUCAAUGGGCGAGAGCCUGAACCAGCCAUCCCGCGUGCAGGAAGACGGCCCUAUGGGUUGUAAACUGCUUUUUUAUGGGAAGAAAAAAGCCUACGAGUAGGUAACUGACGGUACCAUAAGAAUAAGCAUCGGCUAACUCCGUGCCAGCAGCCGCGGUAAUACGGAGGAUGCGAGCGUUAUCCGGAUUUAUUAGGUUUAAAGGGUGUGUAGGCGGAAGAUUAAGUCAGUGGUGAAAUCUCACAGCUUAACUGUGAAACUGCCAUUGAUACUGGUUUUCUUGAGUACAGUUGAAGUAGGCGGAAUGUGUAAUGUAGCGGUGAAAUGCUUAGAUAUUACACAGAACACCGAUUGCGAAGGCAGCUUACUAAGCUGUUACUGACGCUGAUGCACGAAAGCGUGGGGAGCGAACAGGAUUAGAAACCCCAGUAGUCC
rnacentral:rRNA from 1 species